rnacentral:rRNA from 1 species
AGAACGAACGCUGGCGGCGUGCUUAACACAUGCAAGUCGUACGAGAAACCGGAACUUCGGUUCCGGGAGUAAAGUGGCGCACGGGUGAGUAACGCGUAGGUAAUCUACCCUUGGGUUUGGAAUAACCCGCCGAAAGGCGUGCUAAUACCGGAUAAAAUCUUUCGGAGGGAUCUGAAAGAUCAAAGGUGGCCUCUCCAUGGAUGCUACUGCCUGAGGAUGAGCCUGCGUCCCAUUAGCUUGUUGGUAGGGUAAUGGCCUACCAAGGCUACGAUGGGUAGCUGGUCUGAGAGGAUGAUCAGUCACACUGGAACUGGAGCACGGUCCAGACUCCUACGGGAGGCAGCAGUGAGGAAUAUUGCGCAAUGGAGGAAACUCUGACGCAGCGACGCCGCGUGGGUGAAGAAGGCCUUCGGGUCGUAAAACCCUGUUAAGAGGGAAGAAAUUCUCAAUGGAAUAAUACCCAUUGAGAUUGACGGUACCUCUUGAGGAAGCAC